rnacentral:rRNA from 1 species
UGGUAAAACGAGGGUUUAACUGUCUCUUUUUUCCAGUCGGUUAAAUUGAUCUGUCCGUGCAGAAGCGGACAUUUUUUUACAAGACGAGAAGACCCUAUGGAGCUUUAGACACCAGCUAACUGUGAACUAGCGAAUGAAUAAUAAAUCUUCCCAUACACCCACAGACCCUGGUAAUGUGUCUUAGGUUGGGGCGACCACGGGAGAAAGAAAAGCUCCCGAGCAGAACAGGGCUUACCCUGGAACUAAGAACGACAGCUCUAAGUCACAAAAACUUUGACUGAAAUGAUCCGGCCUAACGGCCGAUUAACGGAACAAGUUACCCUAGGGAUAACAGCGCAAUCCCCUCCCAGAGUCCCUAUCGACGAGGGGGUUUACGACCUCGAUGUUGGAUCAGGACAUCCUAAUGGUGCAGCC